rnacentral:rRNA from 1 species
UACGUAGGUGGCGAGCGUUGUCCGGAUUUACUGGGCGUAAAGAGCGCGCAGGCGGCUGGUCAAGUCCGAUGUGAAAGCUCCCGGCUUAACUGGGAAAUUGCAUCGGAAACUGAUCGGCUGGAAGGUGGGAGAGGGUAGAGGAACUCCCGGUGUAGUGGUGAAAUGCGUAGAUAUCGGGAGGAACACCAGUGGCGAAAGCGGCUACCUGGCCCAUUCUUGACGCUGAGGCGCGAAAGCUAGGGGAGCAAACGGG